AGCAGUAGCCGCGGGAAUACAGAGGGUGCGAGCGUUAAUCGGAUUUACUGGGCGUAAAGCGUGCGUAGGCGGCUUUUUAAGUCGGAUGUGAAAUCCCUGAGCUUAACUUAUGAAUUGCAUUCGAUACUGGGAAGCUAGAGUAUGGGAGAGGAUGGUAGAAUUCCAGGUGUAGCGGUGAAAUGCGUAGAGAUCUGGAGGAAUACCGAUGGCGAAGGCAGCCAUCUGGCCUAAUACUGACGCUGAGGUACGAAAGCAUGGGGAGCAAACAGGAUUAGAUACCCCGGUAGUCCCUGUCUCUUAUAC
rnacentral:rRNA from 1 species